rnacentral:rRNA from 1 species
UACGAGGGGGGCAAGCGUUGUUCGGAAUUAUUGGGCGUAAAGGGUGCGUAGGCGGUCUGGUAAGUCUUGUGUGAAAUCUUCGGGCUCAACUCGAAGUCUGCACGAGAAACUGCCGGGCUUGAGUAUGGGAGAGGUGAGUGGAAUUCUCGGUGUAGCAGUGAAAUGCGUAGAUAUCGAGAGGAACACCAGUGGCGAAGGCGAGUCCCUGGACAACACCUGACACUGAGGCACGAAAGCUAGGGGAGCAAACAGG